UUUCCGGUUGAUCCCGCCGGACCUGACUGCUAUCGGAUUGAUACUAAGCCAUGCGAGUCUUUGUAGUAAUACAAGGCAGACGGCUCAGUAACGCGUAGUCAACCUACCCUAUGGACGGGAAUAAUCUCGGGAAACUGAGCAUAAUACCCGGCGUACCACCAUUCCUGGAAUGGUUGGUGGUUAAAAUGAUUCGUCGCCGUAGGAUGGGACUGCGACCUAUCAGCUUGUUGGUGAGGUAAAGGCCCACCAAGGCGAUUACAGGUACGGGCUCUGAGAGGAGAAGCCCGGAGAUGGGUACUGAGACACGGACCCAGGCCCUAUGGGGCGCAGCAGGCGAGAAAACUUUGCAAUGUGCGAAAGCACGACAAGGUUAAUCCGAGUGAUUUCUGCUAAAGGAAUCUUUUGCCAGUUCUAAAAAUACUAGUGAAUAAGGGGUGGGCAAGUUCUGGUGUCAGCCGCCGCGGUAAAACCAGCACCUCAAGUGGUCAGGAGGAUUAUUGGGCCUAAAGCAUCCGUAGCCUGCUCUGUAAGUUUUCGGUUAAAUCUAUAUGCUCAACAUAUAGGCUGCCGAAAAUACUGCAGUGCUAGGAAGUGGGAGAGGUAGACGGUACUUGAUAGGAAGGGGUAAAAUCCUUUGAUCUAUCGAUGACCACCUGUGGCGAAGGCGGUCUACCAGAA
rnacentral:rRNA from 1 species